rnacentral:lncRNA from 1 species
ACUGCAAGCUCCGCCUCCCGGGUUCACGCCAUUCUCCUGCCUCAGCCUCCAGAGUAGCUGGGACUACAGGCGCCCGCCAUCACGCCCGGCUAAUUUUUUUGUAUUUUUAAUAGAGACGGGGUUUCACCUUGUUAGCCAGGAUGGUCUCAAUCUCCUGACCUCGUGAUAUGCCUACCUCGGCCUCCCGAAGUGCUGGGAUUACAUUCUCCAGGCAUUCUUACCUGACGACCACUCCUGACAGAGAAAGUGCUCACAGCCUGUCCUUGUGUAACUCCUGAGCAUACCUCUACCAUCAAGCUUUGUUACCUAACAGCUUGGCUCUUUUGGGAAAUAUAGACAAGCUGGAACCCAGGAGCAGUUGGGAGUUUUAAAGAAUGCCAGCCUUUUUAAAGCUUUGAUGUCCAGUGCUAUAGAAUCAAGUUACUGUGGAGGUCAAAACAAUUUGAGAUACAUAAGCUGGCCUUAGAAAAUAAAUUGCCUCUAACUUGUAUAAGUCGAAUGUCCCUGUUUCCAGAAUAUGGUGUUCAGUCUGCCACAUG